rnacentral:rRNA from 1 species
GACGAACGCUGGCGGCGUGCUUAACACAUGCAAGUCGAACGGUAAGGCCCUUCGGGGUACACGAGUGGCGAACGGGUGAGUAACACGUGGGUGAUCUGCCCUGCACUUCGGGAUAAGCCUGGGAAACUGGGUCUAAUACCGGAUAGGACUCCGGACUGCAUGGUCUGGGGUGGAAAGCUUUUGCGGUGUGGGAUGGGCCCGCGGCCUAUCAGCUUGUUGGUGGGGUGAUGGCCUACCAAGGCGACGACGGGUAGCCGGCCUGAGAGGGUGACCGGCCACACUGGGACCGAGAUACGGCCCAGACUCCUACGGGAGGCAGCAGUGGGGAAUAUUGCACAAUGGGCGCAAGCCUGAUGCGGCGACGCCGCGUGAGGGAUGACGGCCUUCGGGUUGUAAACCUCUUUCAGCAUCGACGAAGCGAAAGUGACGGUAGGUGCAGAAGAAGGACCGGCCAACUACGUGCCAGCAGCCGCGGUAA